UACAGAGACUGCAAGCGUUAUUCGGAUUCACUGGGCGUAAAGGGUGCGUAGGCGGCGCGGUAAGUCGGGUGUGAAAUCUUGGAGCUUAACUCCGAAACUGCAUUCGAUACUGCCGUGCUUGAGGACUGGAGAGGAGACUGGAAUUUACGGUGUAGCGGUGAAAUGCGUAGAUAUCGUAAGGAAGACCAGUGGCGAAGGCGGGUCUCUGGACAGUUCCUGACGCUGAGGCACGAAGGUCAGGGGAGCAAACGGG
rnacentral:rRNA from 1 species